rnacentral:rRNA from 1 species
CACGUAGUUAGCCGGGGCUUCUUACUCAGGUACCGUCAUUUCUUUCUUCCCUGCUGAUAGAGCUUUACAUACCGAGAUACUUCUUCACUCACGCGGCGUCGCUGGAUCAGGGUUCCCCCCAUUGUCCAAUAUCCCCCACUGCUGCCUCCCGUAGGAGUUUGGGCCGUGUCUCAGUCCCAAUGUGGCCGUCCACCUCUCAGGCCGGCUACUGAUCGUCGCCUUGGUGGGCCGUUACCUCACCAACUAGCUAAUCAGACGCGGGUCCAUCAUAUACCACCGGAGUUUUCACACCUGGCCAUGCGGCCAUGUGCGCUUAUGCGGUAUAGCACCUAUUUCUAAGUGUUAUCCCCUGUACUAUGGCUAGGUUACCCACGCGUUACUCACCCGUCCGCCACUAAAGAUACACUUGAUUUCGAACCGAAUCUCGUCGCCGUAUAUUCUUCCGUUCGACUUCGCUAUGUUAGUAAGUCACGCCCG